AUUGAACGCUGGCGGCAGGCCUAACACAUGCAAGUCGAGCGGAGCGGCGGACGGGUGAGUAAUGCCUAGGAAUCUGCCUGGUAGUGGGGGAUAACGUUCGGAAAGGAACGCUAAUACCGCAUACUAUCAGAUGAGCCUAGGUCGGAUUAGCUAGUUGGUGGGGUAAUGGCUCACCAAGGCGACGAUCCGUAACUGGUCUGAGAGGAUGAUCAGUCACACUGGAACUGAGACACGGUCCAGACUCCUACGGGAGGCAGCAGUGGGGAAUAUUGGACAAUGGGCGAAAGCCUGAUCCAGCCAUGCCGCGUGUGUGAAGAAGGUCUUCGGAUUGUAAAGCACUUUAAGUUGGGAGGCGUUACCGACAGAAUAAGCACCGGCUAACUUCGUGCCAGCAGCCGCGGUAAUAC
rnacentral:rRNA from 1 species